rnacentral:snoRNA from 1 species
CCACCACAGUUAUCUGGGGAGGUCACUCUCCCUGGGCUCUGGGCUCUGGGCAGGUGGCCUAAGGGAGCACAGGCUCUGCCCCGUGAUGGAAAUGAAGACUGGCCUUUUGACUCUGGGCCUGCAUAUUCCUAUGACUUCUCAGAGUCCAGUGGACAAUGACUGAGGAAACAAAUCAUACAGGAAACAAUG